UACGAAGGGGGCAAGCGUUGUUCGGAAUAACUGGGCGUAAAGGGCGUGUAGGUGGUUAUAUAAGUUUGGUGUUAAAUCGUGGGGCUCAACCCCAAAGCUGCACUAAAUACUGUAUAACUAGAGUUUAAGAGGGGUGCUUGGAAUUGCUUGUGUAGAGGUGAAAUUCGUAGAUAUAAGCAAGAACACUCGUGGCGAAGGCAGGGCACUGGCUUAAAACUGACACUGAGACGCGAAAGCGUGGGGAGCAAACAGG
rnacentral:rRNA from 1 species